CGAUAUGGGUUUUUGGGUUUAAAAUAAUGAAUAAUUCAUAAGGAGCAUGAAUAAUGCAAUGUUAUUUUCUGGCUGUUCCUUUUAGUGUACUUACCCCGCCAGCCUAAUUGCCCUAGUUAACAAGUUUGGACAUAUGUUCGUCGACAUUUAGGUCAUUUGUUAACUCUAUCUUGAGAAUGAUUAUUUGGUAACAGUAUGUCAUCAUCAUUGUCAGUAAUCAAAGUUAACACUCCUUCUGAGUCAAUUUUAUGCGCGACGAGGGGUUGUAGUCAUUGCAUUACGGUAAGAGCGCUACCGCUCACAUGGUUUGUCCUCUUGCGAGCGGGCCGUGAAAGAAGCUCAGACCGAGCCAACCUUUGUCUAAAAGUCGCCCACUUUUCCCUCAUUUUUGGGCUGAGACAUUGCUGUCACAAGCUUUGAAGGUUGACAUCUCAAGUGCAUUACAGGCCUUCUCUAUUUUAUAUCAGGCUGAGACAUUGCUGUCACAAGCUUUGAAGGUUGACAUCUCAAGUGCAUUACAGGCCUUCUCUAUUUUAUAUCAGGGUAAGACUGUAAUUCUCUUUGUAUGCUUGAUUAAGUAGUCAUCCUAUUUAGUAUUAUUUUGGAGUGAUCAUGACACUGUCUACAAAACAACUAUAUUAUUUAUAGUUUAUGCUGUGUAAUUAAAAUAACUGUUGUUUAUAAUAUUAAUGUAAUCCAAUGACUUUGGAACAAGACUUACAAAAGUUUAAGAUCAAUUCAUUUUAUUCAUGGUCAACAGGGUCUUCUUUUAUGGUCUUCAUUGUCGUCUUAUUGGAAUCUUUGUUCGGAUCUUCAUUUGGAUUAUUUUGUAUAAAUGGAGAAAGUGAAUUAAAUUAAAACUUAAUCAAGUGAAUCAGUGUAAACAACCAUCUGAGUGUUCCAGUUCAAUUCUACUUGCUUUCCACCUUACUCUAUCUUCAUGAGGGUGAACCUGACCACCCUUAUCAUCGUUGGGGUUGCCACCUCGCGACAAUA